GUAAACGGCGGCCGUAACUAUAACGGUCCUAAGGUAGCGAAAUUCCUUGUCGGGUAAGUUCCGACCUGCACGAAUGGCAUAAUGAUGGCCAGGCUGUCUCCACCCGAGACUCAGUGAAAUUGAAAUCGCCGUGAAGAUGCGGUGUACCCGCGGCUAGACGGAAAGACCCCGUGAACCUUUACUAUAGCUUGACACUGAACAUUGAAUUUUGAUGUGUAGGAUAGGUGGGAGACUAUGAAGCAGUCACGCCAGUGAUUGUGGAGUCGUCCUUGAAAUACCACCCUUUAACGUUUGAUGUUCUAACGAAGAUUACGAAACGUGGUCUCGGACAGUGUCUGGUGGGUAGUUUGACUGGGGCGGUCUCCUCCCAAAGAGUAACGGAGGAGCACGAAGGUUUGCUAAUGACGGUCGGACAUCGUCAGGUUAGUGCAAUGGUAUAAGCAAGCUUAACUGCGAGACAGACAAGUCGAGCAGGUACGAAAGUAGGUCAUAGUGAUCCGGUGGUUCUGAAUGGAAGGGCCAUCGCUCAACGGAUAAAAGGUACUCCGGGGAUAACAGGCUGAUACCGCCCAAGAGUUCAUAUCGACGGCGGUGUUUGGCACCUCGAUGUCGGCUCAUCACAUCCUGGGGCUGAAGUAGGUCCCAAGGGUAUGGCUGUUCGCCAUUUAAAGUGGUACGCGAGCUGGGUUUAGAACGUCGUGAGACAGUUCGGUCCCUAUCUGCCGUGGGCGUUGGAGAAUUGGUUGGGGCUGCUCCUAGUACGAGAGGACCGGAGUGGACGCACCACUGGUGUUCCGGUUGUGUCGCCAGACGCAUUGCCGGGUAGCUAAGUGCGGAAGAGAUAAGUGCUGAAAGCAUCUAAGCACGAAACUUGCCAAGAGAUGAGUUCUCCCAGAUUUAAAAUCUGUAAGGGUUGUUUAAGACUAAGACGUAGAUAGGUCUGGUGUGUAAGCGGUGCGAGCCGUUGAGCUAACAGAUACUAAUUGCCCGAGAGGCUUAACUAU
rnacentral:rRNA from 1 species